CAUAAAAAUUUAUAAUAGAAUUUUAUUUUUUAGUCAAAAAGCUAAAAUAUAUUUAAAAGACGAGAAGACCCUAUAAAUCUUUAUAUUUAGAUUAUUAUAAUUUUAUAGAUUUUUUUUAUUAUAAUAAUCAAUGAUAUUUUAUUGGGGUGAUAUUAAAAUUUAAUAAACUUUUAAUUGUUAAAAUCAUUAAUUUAUGAAUAAUUGAUCCGUUAUUAGCGAUUAAAAAAAUAAGUUACCUUAGGGAUAACAG
rnacentral:rRNA from 1 species